UACGUAGGGUGCGAGCGUUGUCCGGAAUUAUUGGGCGUAAAGGGCUCGUAGGCGGUUUGUCGCGUCGGGAGUGAAAACACCGGGCUUAACUCGGUGCUUGCUUUCGAUACGGGCAGACUAGAGGCAUGCAGGGGAGAACGGAAUUCCCGGUGUAGCGGUGAAAUGCGCAGAUAUCAGGAGGAACACCGGUGGCGAAGGCGGUUCUCUGGGCAUGUCCUGACGCUGAGGAGCGAAAGUGUGGGGAGCGAACAGG
rnacentral:rRNA from 1 species